GGGGAGUUUGGCUGGGGCG
rnacentral:siRNA from 1 species